UACGGAGGGGGCGAGCGUUAUUCGGAAUUAUUGGGCGUAAAGGGCGCGUAGGCGGUCUUGUAAGUCAAAGGUGAAAUCCCUCGGCUCAACUGAGGAACUGCCUCUGAAACUGCAAGGCUUGAGGCCGGGAGGGGGUAGCGGAAUUCCCAAUGUAGCGGUGAAAUGCGUAGAUAUUGGGAGGAACACCGAUGGCGAAGGCAGCCUCCUGGGCCAAUACUGACGCUCAUGCACGAAAGCGUGGGGAGCAAACAGG
rnacentral:rRNA from 1 species